rnacentral:rRNA from 1 species
CAGUCGCCGCGGUAAUACGAAGGGGGCUAGCGUUGCUCGGAAUGACUGGGCGUAAAGGGCGCGUAGGCGGUUUGUACAGUUGGAUGUGAAAUUCCUGGGCUUAACCUGGGGGCUGCAUUCAAUACGUGCAGGCUUGAGUGGGGAAGAGGGUCGUGGAAUUCCCAGUGUAGAGGUGAAAUUCGUAGAUAUUGGGAAGAACACCGGUGGCGAAGGCGGCGACCUGGUCCUUUACUGACGCUGAGGCGCGAAAGCGUGGGGAGCAAACAGGAUUAGAUACCCCCGUAGUCCCUGUCUCUUAUAC